UACGUAGGGGGCUAGCGUUGUCCGGAAUCAUUGGGCGUAAAGCGCGUGUAGGCGGCCCGGUAAGUCCGCUGUGAAAGUCGGGGGCUCAACCCUCGGAUGCCGGUGGAUACUGUCGGGCUCGAGUACGGAAGAGGCGAGUGGAAUUCCUGGUGUAGCGGUGAAAUGCGCAGGAUAUCAGGAGGAACACCAAUUGCGAAGGCAGCUCGCUGGGACGUAACUGACGCUGAGACGCGAAAGGCGGUGGGAGCAAACAGG
rnacentral:rRNA from 1 species